GUGUGGAAAGACUUUCAAUUGUUCUCUGAACAAUUGGUUUUUAAUUGUUUUUGUUCUGAUUAUUAUUUUUUUUUCCACCAAAUUUUGUUCUUGCGAUAAAUGUUUGUUUCGCAAUAUGUCGCUUAGAUAUUUCUCAUAUUGUAUCGUAUAGUUUAUGCGCUUUUAAAUUUCACCCUGAUAAGACGAACCAUUUUCUUUGUAAGAGUUAUCUUCCUUUUCACUGUUUACCCUCUGUGUGCAUCUCCUUCGUAACAAAACAAGAUAGCAAC
rnacentral:lncRNA from 1 species